rnacentral:misc_RNA from 1 species
GGAUACCCGCGCUAACGAUUGCAGUGGUUAGCUUUUGAGGAGGCGUGCAUCGAGCCAAAACUAUGAACGAAAAGCGUGACCCUUG